rnacentral:rRNA from 1 species
UACGUAGGGGGGCAAGCGUUGUCCGGAAUUAUUGGGCGUAAAGAGCGCGUAGGCGGUCCGGUAAGUCGGUUGUGAAAGUCGGGGGGCUCAACCCUCGGAUGCCGAUCGAUACUGUCGGGCUAGAGUCCGGAAGAGGCGAGUGGAAUUCCUGGUGUAGCGGUGAAAUGCGCAGAUAUCAGGAGGAACACCAAUGGCGAAGGCGGCUCACUGGACCGGAACUGACGCUGAGGCGCGAAAGCGUGGGGAGCAAACGGG